rnacentral:rRNA from 1 species
GAGUUUGAUCGUGGCUCAGGACGAACGCUGGCGGCAUGCCUAACACAUGCAAGUCGAACGAAGCCUUCGGACUUAGUGGCGCACGGGUGCGUAACGCGCGGGAAUCUGCCCUUGGGUACGGAAUAACUCAGAGAAGUUUGUGCUAAUACCGUAUAAUGUCUUCGGACCAAAGAUUUAUCGCCCAAGGAUGAGCCCGCGUAAGAUUAGCUAGUUGGUGAGGUAAGAGCUCACCAAGGCGACGAUCUUUAGCUGGUCUGAGAGGAUGAUCAGCCACACUGGGACUGAGACACGGCCCAGACUCCUACGGGAGGCAGCAGUGGGGAAUAUUGGACAAUGGGCGAAAGCCUGAUCCAGCAAUGCCGCGUGAGUGAUGAAGGCCUUAGGGUUGUAAAGCUCUUUUACCCGGGAUGAUAAUGACAGUACCGGAGAAUAAGCUCCGGCUAACUCCGUGCCAGCCGCCGCGGUAAC